AUCCGACGCCGCCCGGGCGACCGUGGCUUUAGAUAGUUACUGUUCCACUGGGGGAGUAACAGUCUACAGCCAUGGUCGCCGGGACAGGCAGACUCG
rnacentral:pre_miRNA from 1 species